rnacentral:rRNA from 1 species
UACGUAGGGGGCUAGCGUUGUUCGGAAUUACUGGGCGUAAAGCGCACGUAGGCGGCUUUGUAAGUUAGAGGUGAAAGCCCGGGGCUCAACUCCGGAAUUGCCUUUAAGACUGCAUCGCUAGAAUUGUGGAGAGGUAAGUGGAAUUCCGAGUGUAGAGGUGAAAUUCGUAGAUAUUCGGAAGAACACCAGUGGCGAAGGCGACUUACUGGACACAUAUUGACGCUGAGGUGCGAAAGCGUGGGGAGCGAACAGG